UCUGCAGUUUGCGAAAUCUGUAAUUUGCGAAAUCUGCAGUUUGCGAAAUCUGUAAUUUGCGAAAUAUCUGUAGUUUAGGGUAAAUAAAAAAUGUUCACAUGUUCCGAGGGCGAGGCGUCAAAAGUACAAUUAAAUUCUGUGCAAGCCACCUAAUUAAUUAAGAACCUACCUGACUACACGAAGUCAUAAUUGCGAUAAAACGUUAUCACAAUAAAUUGCUUUACUUGUAUUAGUUAUAUUUCAGUGGCAGUGUCAAAUAAACUUCUUUAUAUAAUUAUAUGUCUGAGACUGCAAAAUGUAAAAGUUUAAGAUUGAAAAUACACCAUUGCCAGCAAAUUGAUUGGAAAUUUUGCCCUGACUAUGGGAUUUUCCCGGAAAUUCUUCAGAUGGUCAAGUGGAUCGCAGCCGCGAGGUUUGACAUAAAAAUGUUGGUGAUCGCAUCGAAAACUUUCGAAAAGGUA